rnacentral:rRNA from 1 species
CCUACGGGAGACAGCAGUAGGGAAUCGUCCACAAUGGGCGAAAGCCUGAUGGAGCAACGCCGCGUGGGUGAAGAAGGUCUUCGGAUCGUAAAACCCUGUUGUUAGAGAAGAAAGUGCGUGAGAGUAACUGUUCACGUUUCGACGGUAUCUAACCAGAAAGCCACGGCUAACUACGUGCCAGCAGCCGCGGUAAUACGUAGUUGGCAAGCGUUAUCCGGAUUAAUUGGGCGUAAAGGGAACGCAGGCGGUCUUUUAAGUCUGAUGUGAAAGCCUUCGGCUUAACCGGAUUAGUGCAUUGGAAACUGUGAGACUGGAGUGCAGAGGAGGAGAGUGGACCUCCAUGUGUAGCGGUGAAAUGCGUAGAUAUAUGGAAGAACACCAGUGGCGAAAGCGGCUCUCUGGUCUGUAACUGACGCUGAGGUUCGAAAGCGUGGGUAGCAAACAGGAUUAGCUACCCUAGUAGUC